UAUUUUUUGUUCCUUUUCUUACAACAGCAUAGCAUGUCUUCGGCUAUAGCCACUCUUGCCAUUCCCAUCAUUUUUCUUUUUUAAAAAAUUAUCUUUUGUUUUUGGCACUAAAUGUUUUGUCUUCUGUUUCUAGAUGCUAAAAACCUAGAAUUUACAAAUAUUUUUCAAGGUCAAACCAUGAUGUAUGGAUUUAGCUGCAACAUGCACAUUUGAAAUUGUAAUCAACAUACAGCUAUUCCUAACUUUUAAAAAAAGUCAUAUUACAAGCAAAACAUGGAAAAAUACUGUCUGAUGCCCUUUUCUAGUUAAGAACUUCCACCAGUCCCAGUUGCAGAACUACUGUGCUUUUACAUCAUCUAGUAGAAGAUUCAAACCCACUGUACAGCAGUGCUCUCACCUUCCAUUACCUACCACAGUGUGAUCCCAUUGGAAGUGCACAAGGAAGGUCAAGUGGCCUGUUCCCUUUUAUCUGCAGAAAACUGGGACCAGUUGUUGGACAAGAGCUGAAUACCUCUUCCUUCAGCUAUAAAUGGCCUAGUCAGAAAAUCAAGGUAAGAAGUGCUUUAAUUUUAUCAAUAAAGGAUUUUAAAUCAGCCUAUGCUGAUUUCAGAUGCAUCUGUGCCUUCCUGUCAGAAUUCAUAUUGUAUUCAGAAAGGAAUGGAAC
rnacentral:lncRNA from 1 species